rnacentral:rRNA from 1 species
UACGAAGGGGGCUAGCGUUGGUCGGAAUCACUGGGCGUAAAGCGCACGUAGGCGGCGCGUUAAGUCAGGGGUGAAAUCCUGGAGCUCAACUCCAGAACUGCCCUUGAUACUGGCGUGCUCGAGUGUGGGAAAGGUUGGUGGAACUCCGAGUGUAGAGGUGAAAUUCGUAGAUAUUCGGAAGAACACCAGUGGCGAAGGCGGCCAACUGGCACAUUACUGACGCUGAGGUGCGAAAGCGUGGGGAGAAAACAGG